UUGACCUCGAAUCAGGUAGGGAUACCCGCUGAACUUAAGCAUAUCUAUAAGCGGA
rnacentral:rRNA from 1 species